rfam:Oryza sativa Japonica Group DNA, chromosome 12, cultivar: Nipponbare, complete sequence.
GAAAAAACAAACCCUAGAUUUACGUGCCAACAUUUGACUGUUCGUUUUAUAUAAAAAAAAUUUAUAAUUAGUAUUUUCAUUGUUGUCAGAUGAUAAAACAUGAUUAAUACUUUAUGCGUGACUUAUUUUUUUAAUUUUUUUCAUAAUUUUUUCAAAUAAGAUGGACGGUCUGGACACGGAAAUCAAGGUUUGUCUUUUUU